GGUGGUUCUAUAUCAUCGAGCCGCGCGACGCCAACUAGGUGGCGGCCCCCAAAUUCAGAUCUGGAUUCCCGAUGCGGCUCACUUCCUGGCAAGAGAGGGGCCUAACCCGGGGUCCCUCGGACGAACUAACUGGGAUCCAGACGUGUGUUCAGAAUAUGAUGGAUAGGAAGAUCAAGAUCGUCAAUGUGGUCCAAGUCAUGCUCAUUCGUCGGGUUCUUCUGUGCCAAUGCCAGACUUGCUAUCUGUGGGAGUACGAUCCGGCCAAGCACCAGACGCUACAAGAGCUCUUCGGCACAACGCACGAAGAAAUCUGGAAAGUGAUCUUCAAGGCCGGCGAGGCGCCACCACCCACGACCGAAGAUUGCGGGCUUAGCUUAAAAUGCCAGGCUAACCCGGCCUGGAUCAAGAUAGCGGAGGGGAUUAACAGUCCAGCUCCGCUACCCGAAGACCAAGAAUUCCCAUUGUUGACGAAAAUGCUCUUUCCAGCACCUUAUGAGGUGCCGAAGAAAACGGCCAAGAAAGCGGCCAAAGGGGCCAAGAAGGGCCUUCGCCGAAAAGGCGCUCCGGACAUGAUGUCCGAAGACAAGACUUCCUCUUCGUCCGUCGACGACGAUGAUGAAGAGGAAGAAGAAAGAGAAUCCCCACCUGAAGUGGGGAGGAAGAAGAGAGCGACUCCCCACCUGAAGUGGGGAGGAAGAAGAGAGCGGCCUCCAAAAAUCCGGAGGUGAAAGCGCCUAAAAGGGUUAGAGGUUCCCAUGCGGAUAACUCUGUGUGUGACGUGGACAGCAGCCCGGAGCGACCUCGCGGACCAAGCCUCAAGCUGCCUCGUAAGUACCAGGAUCCGAAAACAUCUAGCUUUCCCGGUUUGUAAUAUUGAUAUACCUUAAACCUUGUUAUUGCAGUCUAACGCGCAAUGGCUCCCCGCGAUCUUCGUCCGAGGGAUCACUAGACUCAAAGGAGAUGGCUAGCAUGUCUCCGCCACCUGCUCAUUCCAUCUCUCCCAAGGGUGACGACGAGGUGGUAUCGCAAAAGACCUUCCCCGACCAGGGGGGCUUCCAGAGAUCGUCGGGGCGGUGCCCUAGGACGAUUCCUCAAUUGUCGGACGCAUGGGGGAAAAAGGCCCUACGAGGACCGGCGACGGGGGCCGGGUUCCCUUAGGACCUGAGCCGGGUACCAUUUCGGAGACCUAUGCGGCUCCGGAGUCCAGUGAAUGGCAUGCUCCGAGAGGAGGGAGUGUGCCUGUUCCGCUGGUGACCUCUAUCCAACUAGAGGCACUGGAUAACCUGUUGGAGGUGCUACGAGGCACCUCUAUUGUGGAUGCACACCGCACCCUUAUGGGCACGGUAAUAGAGAAGGUCCAGCUCGUGAAAAGCGGACUGACCAAAGCCUACACUAGCCUUCUGUCAGGCUUUGAGGUAAGUAAUGCGUUUGUAGGAAGAAUAUCACAGUAUAGGCAGUAGCCCCUGAUGCUCUAUUUGGUGUUCGGAAAGAAGAAGCCUAACAGAGGAUCGAAAAGAAAAAUCGCAGGAGUCUAACAUAAGUUGUCUUUGUGAAUAAGCAGGUGUCGCUGCAGGUUGCCACCGCUCAUGCUGUAGAGGUCUCCGGACCGAAGCGGAAACUGGAGCGGGUCAAGGAAGAGCUCGGCCUCGUAAAGAAGCAGCUAGAGGAUAGCCAAGGGGCGACGACCGAGGUGGCAGCCCUCAAGAAGGCGUUGGCCGAGGCCGAGGACAAAGCGUCCAAGGAGUGUGCCGUGCAUGAGAAGCAUGAGGCCCAGGUCGGCGAGGCGCAGCAACAGCUCCAGGAUGCGAUCAAGAGAUUUGAGUCCUUGGAGCGUGAUUGUAAGGCGCAAGAGUACGAACUAGCGACAGCCCACCAGAGCGCACAUGAUGCAUGAGCCGAAGCCCAGAACACCCUCCAGGAAAUUCAGGCGGCCAAGGAAAUUGCGGCGGGUAAUUCUUUCACCAUGCAAAGCAAGUAUGUAAAAGAAACGUUCCAUGUACUUAUCCGAAUUCGGGUUUUCCCGGGGCGUUUGCGGAUCUGCCGCACAGUAUAUCGGAUGCUGCCGAGCAUUACAGAGCCGAAGAAAGGAUGUCUACGGAGAAGCUAUUCUGGUCCUAGUAUCUUGGACCCAAACAUCCGUUGCCCUUCAUCGACCAGCUGAAGCAGUUGGUCGAGCUGCACAAGUCGGCAGAGCUAGCCAUGAAGGACCUGAUAGUCCGACUGUGGCGUGCCAAGCCUGUACCUAGCAGCUAUUCCGGACUUGUUAAGUGGCUUGUAAAUGCAUGUCUGCGGCUCAAAACCGUGAAACGGUCGGUCUGCAUUGAAGGUGCACGUAUGGCCUUUGCCCGCGUCAAGACGCAUUGGGCAAAGCUGGAUGCUAAGAAGCUAAUGACCGAGGGGCCGCCGGAGGGCAAAGAGCAUUGUCGACCCGAG